UUUUAGUAAGAAUUAUUUAUUGUAUAAAAGUGGAAGGUUAAUUGGUACAGUACUAUACAUAAUCUCUCACCCUUGAAAAAUUAAACAUAACUGGAUAAAAAUAACAAAGCAGAAUGAAAACAGAAUAUUUUAUGGAGAAUGUUCUGCUAUAUUUAUGUACUAAUGUUCUUCACCAUUGCGUCUUAAUUUUUCUGAUUUCUUACAAAAAUGAACAUAUUUUAUCAUUUGAUAAAUGUACAUACAGUUCUAUAUUUUUCAUUCAACUCAGCUAACUAGCUGACUGAAACUUUCAACUAAAUGUAGCACUAUUUAAAAAAUUAGAGCCUUAUCUCAGAAAAUGCAACAUUGUUCUGUGAAAUUUGCACAAUAUAAUGCAAAUAUCUUAGCUUUUAGUAAUAAAUUAAAAAAUGCCAGCCACCAUCUUAUGACUUAAGCAUUAUGAAUUAGUCAAAUGCUAUCUUGUGGAAUAAAAUAGUCAUACUAAAUGUAGAGAAAAGUGAUAAAAGUUUCAAAAAUGUGUGCCAGGACUACCUUCAUUACUUUUAUAUUUAAUUAUAAAUUAGAUGUUUAAAAAACUGAGCUACUCCCUCACAUGUUCUCUCAUAUACCAGAAAAGAAACAAAGCAUUAUUAUUCUUCAGGGUAACUGUAUCAGAAAGAGAAAUUACUGCAAAAAACAAAACAAAAAGCAAAAAAACCCACAAGCUUUUAUACACAUAAACCUAAUUGGACAAAGGAAAAUAUUAAAAAAUACACCUAUGGACAAAUAUCUGUAGGUUGCUCCCACAGCUAAUUAACAGUGACACACAUAGCAAUACUAUAGAAAUUAUGUCCACAUACUUAUAUUCGUCAAAGAUUCAAAUUUGUUACAUCAAAGCAUACAUGCAAGAAUGUGUGCCACAUGACUUAAAAACUUCCCGCUGAAUAUAAAACAAAAUAAAAAUCUGUGAAUAAAUAUAAAGCAUCCCAUAAUAAUAUCUGUAGGAAGCCAAAAGGGGCCAACAAAAAUGUCUAUGACCUAAGUUUUACUUCAUAGGAAUAUUCAUAGUCUCCAAAACAGAUUUAGUUGUAAUGCUACACAUUACAAAUAUUCAACUGCUUACCAAAAUACUUUUUCUGGCAGCAAAAUGUUACUUAAAAACGGGGGUAGGGGGCGGUGGUGGUGGUGGUAAGUGCUUGAGGGAGUAAGAAUGCAGCAGAAAAUUACAGGAGCCCACAUAUCCUUUUUCUUAAAUUUAAUUUGUCAUAUAUAACGUUUUUAUAUACAA
rnacentral:lncRNA from 10 species